ensembl:lncRNA
AUGACUCUUAUUGUGGAAGACAGUGGUCUGUGCAGGGAGCUAUUCCAAAGCGGGUAUUGUGGAACAGCUCAUUCUGCAACAGCUGUUCUGGUCAAGCUCCCUGUGCCGGCACCAGGGGUGGAGGCACGCAGCCUGCAGCUCUACGGGCUGGCACGUGGCUGCGAGCUGAUGGCUGCAAUUGCACUGUUAUCAUGCUCGCCUUUCAGCGAGAAAGGCAGAAAUCGCUCUCAUGUCUCUGUUAAUAUGCUGUCUCCUGGACUCUUCACUUCCAUUAGGUGUCAUGCACUCCCUUUGGUUCUCUCCGUGCAGGCCUGGAAAACUCUCUUAUUGCAGCAAAAUCCAUAUAGAAUUCAUGCCCUUUGGCCGAGCUCUGCAGCAUCCCAUUGCACACCAACUUCCCAAGAUGAAGACCUCUGUGCUGUAACCACAGUGGGGCUUGCUUGUAAUGACCCCCACAUUUGACACUUUCUUUUAAACAGCACAUUUUCAGCUUGUGUGAAUUAAUUUCCUGUUGGGUUCUUUGCGAUCCCACCUCUCUCCAUGUCAGCCGAGCAGUUCCUGGGUGCAGUGGAUUCACUUUUGCAUUUGAUGGUUUUUGUCAUAAACCAAAGCCACUCAGAAUCAACCUAAUGAGUCUGUUCUACUCUUAGUGCCAUAGUUUAAAACCCAGUGCAAAAUGUUCUGAUGGUGAUGCUAAGAACACUAAAAGCUGAUUUGAAAAUCAUCCUUUUUUUUUUUUUUUCUUAAAAUGCAUGUAAAUGCAGAUCUUGACAUUUGAGCUGGUGGAACUUUCCCGUGAUACAUAAAAUUAGAUCACUGCAUUUGUUUAUGUUUGCUAUCUGCCAUUCAUGUUGUUUGCCUUGGUUAAGUUUCCAGUUUUCCUUUUAUACAGUCUCUGCAUACUGAUUAAACAGACUCAGUGGGAACAUUCUUACUUGGUGCCUGCUUUGUCGGAAGAUGCUCUGCUGAGCUGGACCUACACUGAUACCAGGCAAAGAGACUGUAAAUAGCCACCUUCCCUGGAAUCUCAGGAUGUAUUUUUCCCUCUUGAAAUCAGGUCCAAUAGCAAAUACCACACCUCAACUAUCACACCAGGUGGAGACAGGGAAAUAGCCUGAGUGCUGUAUUUAAUAGUAGGGGUAGAAAUCCUAUAGCUGGAUAUGACAUUCUUGCCAUGGUUUGCUCUAUAAAUGGAUUUUAGCCCUGGCCAUAACCUAUCAACGAGGCCAAAAACACACAGUGGGGCAGCCCCAUUCCUGAGCUUAGUAGUUCUGUUGGCAGAAAAAAAUAAGCUUUGAGAAACAAAGAGUUUUUUUUCAGUUACAGUUACUUUGUGUUCAAAGCCCAGAAUUAUCACAGGGGUUUGUUUGAUUGAUCUUAAUAGAUAAAUGAAAUUGACCUUGGUUCCAAUUCACAUCUACGCUGUGGUGACUGAAAAUCAAGGCAGAGAAUCAUAGAAUUGUUUGAGUUGGAAGGGACCCAUAAAGGCCAUCUAGCCUAACUCCCCUACAAUGAACAGGGACACCCACAGCUCCAUCAGGUGCUCAGAGCCCUGUCCAGCCUGACCUUGGAUGUCUCCAGGGAUGGGGCAUCCACCACCUCUCUGGGCAAUAUCUCCUUCUCAGAUGAGGUUGUAGACUUGAACUUAUCUUCGAUGACACGUAAAGCCUAAAUAUUGACAGUUCAUUGUCUUAAAGAGGCUAUAGUGAUUCUCGUUGACCUUUGGGCUAACGGGAAGACCAGGGCGUUUUGAAAGGGGGAUCUCAGGCAAAGCUGGGAAAGAUGUGGCACUUCCCAAAAUUCCCUUCCAGUUCCCUGAGUGUAACAGUUCUCAACUGUGAUAUUAAAUUGAAACACAGUGUUGUUAUGAACCGUUAAAUAAUAAAUGUGCUUCAUCUGAGGGAGCUCUGAUUUUU